ACUAUUAUAUAGUACUCAGACAUCACUAACAUUCAGAGUUUGGUCCUCUGGCAGGCGCGAGCGGGCAGAGCCCGCCGUGGAGACCACGGCCUGCCAAAGCAACAAGAGUAGGUAGACACGGGUGGGGUUACCGGUUGCCCGGUAUCCUUAUUAAUGAUCCUUCCGCAGGUUCACCUACGGAAACCUUGUUACGACUUUUACUUCCUCUAAAUGACCAAGA
rnacentral:misc_RNA from 1 species